GGAGGGGUGGCCGAGAGGCUGAAGGCGGCGGUUUGCUAAACCGUUGUACGAUGUAAGUCGUACCGUGGGUUCGAAUCCCAUCCCCUCCGCCA
rnacentral:tRNA from 1 species